UACGCCACGCGUGUAGUUAUGUCAUAACUUGAUGCGCGGGUAGUUAAAGGUUAAUGAAACAAAAGUUUCCGACCUAAGGCCGGCUUACAUUGAACUAACUACAUAAAAACAAGGGGAUGUAAACAUACAAAUCCAUUACCCUAAGAUUAUUUAUGAAGUUAUUAUACCCGUAAUUAUUGCCUGAUAAUUCAAUCCGAUACUCUGAGUACGUUAUCUCCUGUAUAAUAUAACUAGAACGUAUGUAGUGAUUGAAUAAACCCACGUAAGCUACUUUGUUUAUAAUUAUUCCUGCCUCCUGAAGUUAAAUACGAUCUAUUCAAUCAUGAGAUACAGUUAGAAAAACCAGUUAGAUAUCUAAUAGCUGACGAGGAUCCUUUCAUAUGUCAAUAAGACUAAUAAGAAUCAAAUUAUCACUCGGACUUCUGUAUGAGCUUUCGUAACGUUCGGUUGUGUGACAGUUCAGUGUGGAAGUGAUAAUUCAAAAAAAACGCAGGCGGCAAAAACAAAAUAGGAACUACAUAAUAGAGAAAAACAAGAAGAAGGACAAGGACCACAUAGGACCAAAAAAAAAAUAGAUCUGAAGUUGACAGGACACCUGGUUGUGCAUUGCCUUGAGCAAGACGCGCAUAACCAAUAACAUGUACUGGGUAAAUGAUUAAAAAAAAAUCGAAACCCAAAAAAAAA
rnacentral:lncRNA from 1 species